rnacentral:rRNA from 1 species
UGCCCCAGUAACGGCGAGUGAAGCGGCAACAGCUCAAAUUUGAAAUCUGGCUCUCGGGCCCGAGUUGUAAUUUGUAGAGGAUGCUUUUGGUGAGGUGCCUUCCGAGUUCCCUGGAACGGGACGCCAUAGAGGGUGAGAGCCCCGUCUGGUUGGACGCCGAACCUCUGUAAAGCUCCUUCGACGAGUCGAGUAGUUUGGGAAUGCUGCUCUAAAUGGGAGGUAUAUGUCUUCUAAAGCUAAAUACCGGCCAGAGACCGAUAGCGCACAAGUAGAGUGAUCGAAAGAUGAAAAGAACUUUGAAAAGAGAGUUAAACAGUACGUGAAAUUGUUGAAAGGGAAGCGCUUGUGACCAGACUUGGGCUUGGUUGAUCAUCCGGGGUUCUCCCCGGUGCACUCUUCCGGCCCAGGCCAGCAUCAGUUCGCCCUGGGGGACAAAGGCAUCGGGAACGUGGCUCUCUCCGGGGAGUGUUAUAGCCCGUUGCGUAAUACCCUGCGGCGGACUGAGGUUCGCGCAUUCGCAAGGAUGCUGGCGUAAUGGUCAUCAGUGACCCGUCUUGAAACACGGACCAAGGAGUCGUCUUCGUAUGCGAGUGUUCGGGUGUCAAACCCCUACGCGAAAUGAAAGUGAACGCAGGUGAGAGCUUCGGCGCAUCAUCGACCGAUCCUGAUGUUAUCGGAUGGAUUUGAGUAAGAGCAUACGGGGCCGGACCCGAAAGAAGGUGAACUAUGCCUGUGUAGGGUGAAGCCAGAGGAAACUCUGGUGGAGGCUCGCAGCGGUUCUGACGUGCAAAUCGAUCGUCAAACAUGGGCAUG